UACGUAGGGGGCAAGCGUUGUCCGGAAUCAUUGGGCGUAAAGAGCGUGUAGGCGGCCAGGUAGGUCUGGUGUGAAAACUCGAGGCUUAACCUCGAGAUGUCAUCGGAAACCAUCUGGCUAGAGCCCGGAAGAGGAGAGUGGAAUUCCUGGUGUAGCGGUGAAAUGCGCAGAUAUCAGGAAGAACACCAAUGGCGAAAGCAGCUCUCUGGGACGGUACUGACGCUGAGACGCGAAAGCGUGGGGAGCGAACAGG
rnacentral:rRNA from 1 species